UCCCCGGUAGCUCAGUGGUAGAGUGGCUGACUGUUAAUCAGCUUGUCGUAGUUUCGAAUACUACCCGGGGAGCCA
rnacentral:tRNA from 1 species